CCAGUCUACAAUUGCAGAACAAUUAUCGAUUGAUACAUCGGAUAAAAUUGUAGAAAUAAAAUACAUUGUGAAUGAUAAUUGUCCUCCGUUGCAGAUUAUUGUCCUCCGUUGCACAUCGGAUAUAUUCUUGUUUGGUGCAAGAAAAAAAACAAAAAAAAAGUAGCUGUUGCAGUGCUUCCAGUGUGUUUUUAAAAUGUAGUCAAAUGUGGGUAAAUGUAGUUAACGUUUAU
rnacentral:lncRNA from 1 species